rnacentral:rRNA from 1 species
UCGGGAAUUUUGGGCAAUGGGCGCAAGCCUGAUCCAGCCAUGCCGCGUGAGUGACGAAGGCCUUAGGGUUGUAAAGCUCUUUUGGCGGGGAAGAUAAUGACGGUACCCGCAGAAUAAGCUCCGGCUAACUUCGUGCCAGCAGCCGCGGUAAUACGAAGGGAGCUAGCGUUGUUCGGAAUCACUGGGCGUAAAGCGCACGUAGGUGGGCAGUUAAGUCAGGGGUGAAAGCCCGAGGCUCAACCUCGGAAUUGCCUCUGAUACUGGCUGUCUAGAGUUCGAGAGAGGUGAGUGGAAUUCCUAGUGUAGAGGUGAAAUUCGUAGAUAUUAGGAAGAACACCGGUGGCGAAGGCGGCUCACUGGCUCGAUACUGACACUGAGGUGCGAAAGCGUGGGGAGCAAACAGGAUUAGAUACCCCGGUAGUCCCUGAGCGGGCUGGCAAGGCGCAU